GACUCAUUAGCUCAGUCGGUAGAGCAUCUGACUUUUAAUCAGGGUGUCCCGCGUUCGAGUCGCGGAUGGGUCACCA
rnacentral:tRNA from 3 species